UCCGCCACUGUGCCUGUCUGUGUGAGCGACUGGUUCAUUCCAGUGGGGGCUGAGAGAAAUCCAGCUCUAGGAAGCAGGGCUGCCCAGACAGGUGGGAAGCUCUGUGCCGAAAGGCCUGGAACACGC